rnacentral:rRNA from 1 species
CAGCCGCCGCGGGAACACGAAGGGGGCUAGCGUUGUUCGGAAUUACUGGGCGUAAAGAGCUCGUAGGCGGUUUGUCGCGUCUGCCGUGAAAGUCCGGGGCUCAACCCCGGAUCUGCGGUGGGUACGGGCAGACUAGAGUGAUGUAGGGGAGACUGGAAUUCCUGGUGUAGCGGUGAAAUGCGCAGAUAUCAGGAGGAACACCGAUGGCGAAGGCAGGUCUCUGGGCAUUAACUGACGCUGAGGAGCGAAAGCAUGGGGAGCGAACAGGAUUAGAUACCCCAGUAGUCCCUGUCUCUUAUAC